rnacentral:tRNA from 1 species
AAGUCCAGUAGUGCAAGGCACGUCGACCUGCAAACUCGAAGACGCCACUUUCUCGUGGCCCGGACU